rnacentral:misc_RNA from 1 species
UACGGAGGGUGCGAGCGUUAAUCGGAAUUACUGGGCGUAAAGGGUGCGUAGGUGGUUUGGUAAGUUAUCUGUGAAAGCCCUGGGCUUAACCUGGGAAGGCCAGAUAAGACUGUCAGACUCGAGUAUGGGAGAGGGUAGUGGAAUUUCCGGUGUAGCGGUGAAAUGCGUAGAGAUCGGAAGGAACACCAGUGGCGAAGGCGGCUACCUGGCCUAAUACUGACACUGAGGCACGAAGGCUAGGGUAGCAAACGGG